ACGCUGGCGGCGUGCCUAAUACAUGCAGGUAGAACGCUGAAGAGAGGAGCUUGCUCUUCUUGAAUGAGUUGCGAACGGGUGAGUAACGCGUAGGUAACCUGCCUUGUAGCGGGGGAUAACUAUUGGAAACGAUAGCUAAUACCGCAUAACAAUGGGUGACACAUGUCAUUUAUUUGAAAGGGGCAAUUGCUCCACUACAAGAUGGACCUGCGUUGUAUUAGCUAGUAGGUGAGGUAACGGCUCACCUAGGCGACGAUACAUAGCCGACCUGAGAGGGUGAUCGGCCACACUGGGACUGAGACACGGCCCAGACUCCUACGGGAGGCAGCAGUAGGGAAUCUUCGGCAAUGGGGGCAACCCUGACCGAGCAACGCCGCGUGAGUGAAGAAGGUUUUCGGAUCGUAAAGCUCUGUUGUAAGUCAAGAACGAGUGUGAGAGUGGAAAGUUCACACUGUGACGGUAGCUUACCAGAAAGGGACGGCUAACUACGUGCCAGCAGCCGCGGUAAUACGUAGGUCCCGAGCGUUGUCCGGAUUUAUUGGGCGUAAAGCGAGCGCAGGCGGUUUGAUAAGUCUGAAGUUAAAGGCUGUGGCUCAACCAUAGUUCGCUUUGGAAACUGUCAAACUUGAGUGCAGAAGGGGAGAGUGGGAUUCCAUGUGUAGCGGUGUAAUGCGUAGAUAUAUGGAGGAACACCGGUGGCGAAAGCGGCUCUCUGGUCUGUAACUGACGCUGAGGCUCGAAAGCGUGGGGAGCGAACAGGAUUAGAUACCCUGGUAGUCCACGCCGUAAACGAUGAGUGCUAGGUGUUGGAUCCUUUCCGGGAUUCAGUGCCGCAGCUAACGCAUUAAGCACUCCGCCUGGGGAGUACGACCGCAAGGUUGAAACUCAAAGGAAUUGACGGGGGCCCGCA
rnacentral:rRNA from 1 species